rnacentral:lncRNA from 1 species
GGGGGGGUAAAGUCAUAUGAUAGGAUUAGUCAAUCUUAAUCUUACACUAUAACCUAUUUUAAUCUUAUCUACAUAUUCUACUUUCUCACAUCAUACUUACUUACCCAAGCAUACAUUUACACUACCUUCAAAUUACACAUACAACCAUGAGUCUAUACUUAUAAUUUAUUGUCUAAUCUAAUAGUUUUCAUUCACAGUCUAUAAGGGAUUUCUGUAACCAUCAUAACUAUCCACUCUGGCUCUUUCCUACUUUCAAUAAAUAAAAAAAAUCAAGGACAAAUAAUUUCUCC